rnacentral:rRNA from 1 species
UACGGAGGGUGCAAGCGUUAAUCGGAAUUACUGGGCGUAAAGCGCGCGUAGGCGGCUAAAUCAGUCGGGUGUGAAAGCCCUGGGCUCAACCUGGGAACUGCAUUCGAUACUGUUUAGCUAGAGUAUGGGAGAGGGUAGUGGAAUUCCACGUGUAGCGGUGAAAUGCGUAGAUAUGUGGAGGAACACCCGUGGCGAAGGCGACUGCCUGGCCCAAUACUGACGCUGAGGUGCGAAAGCGUGGGUAGCGAAC